UACGGGGGGGGCAAGCGUUGUUCGGAAUUACUGGGCGUAAAGGGCUCGUAGGCGGCCAACUAAGUCAGACGUGAAAUCCCUCAGCUUAACUGGGGAACUGCGUCUGAGACUGGUGGGCUUGAGUGCAGGAGAGGAACGCGGAAUUCCAGGUGUAGCGGUGAAAUGCGUAGAUAUCUGGAGGAACACCGGUGGCGAAGGCGGCGUUCUGGACUGCAACUGACACUGAGGAACGAAAGCCAGGGGAGCAAACGGG
rnacentral:rRNA from 1 species